UAUUCCCCUCAUGUGCUGACAAGUGUGCAUCUCCUCACAACAGAAUGUCACCACCAUCACUCGAGCAUGUGAUCCCAAUGGCCUCGCUCCUUCCUUCCCCAAAAUCUACACUCAACCAAAUUGCCAAACUUCGUCGCCCUCAAUCACCGUGCAACCCUCCCUCUUCGCCGUCGUUGUUGCCAACCUCCUCGCCACGUGCUCCUAUGACCACUCCUACCUCAGCUUCUCGCACUGCCUCACCAUCUAGUCCCACCGUGUUUCGCACUUCCUCUAGGUGCGGCAGUGUUGGUCCUUCACGAUCAUGCUCCAAUCCUGAGUCACCGGUGUACUCACCGUCGACAUCCACCCUGCCACCAUCAUCAUCGACCUCCUCUCUCCCCGCAUGCUCUGUGACCCCACCUGCGUCCCCGCCUCUCGCACUCCUUGCCAUCCAGGCCCGCCAUCACCGCACCAGCAUCCUGAUCUGUAGCUGCACUGGCAUCCCCAUCUAUGUUCAUCCCCAGUGGCCACACCCAAUGUGCGCUGCUAGGCUUGUCCCUAGCACGUUGAGGCAACUGGGAUCAGAAACUAGGAGGGAGACGAGAUGGAGAUCAGGGAAGAUGGAGCCAAGAGGAGCACUCUAUAGAUCUGGUGCCCUCAGCCACCGUCGCCGCCAACCGAUGACCUCUUGCCUCCGUCCUUCAUUGCGAAAUGGUGGUGCUGCUCCUGUCUCCAACGAUGGACAGCGCUAUCCAUCGGCUGGAGCGGAGAGGUCUGCUGGGGCAGCAAUGGAGUCAUGAAGGACCAGUGUCUUACCUGGCUUGGGGACGAUUGAUUCAUGAUGAUCCACAACCCACUCUCGCCGCUGAGAAUCCCAUUGGACAGAGAACACGUUGGCCGCUUAGAUUUGGAAGAUCCAUCAUGCCUGCGAGGGGAGAAUCGUUGGAUGGAUUUAUGCAUGGUCUGGAAUGACCUGUGCUCGGUGUCCAUGUUGGCUUGGCAAGGAGGCAAAGGAUCAAUGUGAGCAUUCGGAUUGCACAAAGCACUGGUCCCUGUUUGUGAUAAGGUUACUAUAAAGACUCUCAUUCUAGAUUAGCUAACCAAUUAUGAGGGUCCUUGCCAAACCAAGUUUAGAACGGAGGAUACUAUUUCUAGCCUGAAAGAGAGGCUAAUGCAAACCCAAGACCUCAAGACACAAGUGGAGACACUCUACCAUUGAGACAGGUCUGCCCUUCACCUACACUCCUAAAGUUGGAUGCAGAUGUAUUUGAGAUAGCUACUUAUUUUGAAGUUUGAUUAUUCAAAUAGUUAAACUUCUAGAGUGGCAUAUUUACAAGAUGUUUUAUAAAAUUCCUUCCCAUGCGAACCAUGGCCCACCUCCUUGGACCGCUUCAUCCAUUCUCAAUAGCUCCACAUGGGAAGCAAAUGACGGGUAAGCAUGCAGCAUUGCUGCAUCUCUUACCCUCUCGCUCAGCCUGACAUCUAUUGCCCUCACACUCACGUUCAACAGCCCUUCUCCCUCCUGUUCUAUGAUGGUGACUUACGUGCAGUAAGGUAAGACAUUAGUGAUGCACACCAGGUACUUGACUAAACUACCCAUCUAGGAUGCAGUCUCAAUUUUUUAUUUGUUACUAAUCUUCUCCCUGACACGGUUGAUCAAUCCAUUCAAUCUAGAUUGAACACAACUUCAUCCCAUGGCAUCAUCUAUAGAUUUGUGGGUGGCUGCUUCUAUCAUUCAUGCUAUUUCUAUGCAAGAUUUUUCGCACUUCCUUUUUGAUGAAUAUUUACACUCACCUUAACUUGUUAAUUUAUAACUAUUGUUGUAUUCUACAUUGCAGGUUGAAUUUCAUUGACUUCUGAAGCUAAACUAAAGUGGUGUAUUUGCCAAAGUGUUGUGAUAUGCAAAUUGCAUCUUUUAGGCAAUUCCCUCUUAGCAUUGUGCUAUACUUAACUAGUUUAUGAUACUAAAGUUGUUUGAUCAAUCAUAAUGCCUUGGUUCAUCUGAUAUCCUUGCGGCAUUUGUUUCUUUAAUUUCUAUUUCUAUUUUUCCAUCUCAAAAUAAUAGUUUGCUUGCAGCGGCUUAUGAGAAGUGAAAAUAUAUGGUGCACAGACACAAACCUAACUUCUUUUAUUUCAAAUUGUAUCUUUCAGUUUUUGGGCCUACUCGUGGGGGCAAUUUGAGUUUAGUGACAAAAUAGUUGAUAUUCAGACUUCACACUUUGCUGUGUUUCGUGGGUUCAGUCAGUAUUUGGAAAAAUACUUGGUUUAAACCUAAUGUGUUCAAACAUAGUUUUUGGUUGACAAUAAAUAUCGUACAUUCCGAUUUUGUAUUCUAAUUAAUAACAUAAUCAAAUAAUUUCUCGCCCUUCACGCAUGCAAUUUAAGUACAUGGAGCAUGUGCAAGUUGCUGUUGCAUUUGAGCGCUUGUUGUUGUUAUUUUUGUUGAUAUGCAGGUUUGUGUGGGCAGUGUUGGUUGUUCAACAAGUUAGGGGCACAAAACCUGGCCAUGGACAAGCUUGAAUUGUGCAGUUUGAAUGUGCUGAUGGGCAAGACACCAUAGUAGUGGUGAUUAGCGUGAUGGUAGCACCAUUAUUAGUGUCUGGCCUACUGAUGUUGUGGGAGCCAUGGAUGUGGCAGCCGCCCUCAUCCAUGUUUUCAUUCGUGAACGAUGAUACAAAUUGAAUAAGGGGACCAGUUUAUUUAGAAGGUGGUUUUUCUAUUGUGAACUGCAAACAAUUCUAUAUAUAAUCAAAGAUAGC